rnacentral:tRNA from 1 species
UUGCGGCUGGAUCACCUCCUUUCUAAGGAUCAUGGCGGAUAGAGCUGCUCACGCACUCUUCCUCCUGUCCAAAGAACAUUGCCGCCGUCCUCAUGUCCCUUCAUCCUGGAAACAUCUUCGAAGAGAAGAUGCUGCCUGAGCUGGCUCACGCCGCCUGCGGCCUUUUGGCCGGCUAGGUGCGAGCGGGGGCCGGUAGCUCAGGUGGUUAGAGCGCACGCCUGAUAAGCGUGAGGUCGGAGGUUCGAGUCCUCCUCGGCCCACCAUAUCGCUUCGGGGCCUUAGCUCAGUUGGGAGAGCGCUAGCUUUGCAAGCUUGAGGUCAUCGGUUCGAUCCCGAUAGGCUCCACCAUCCUCGCGCGCAGACCGCACGGGGUGCGGUC